GUGGGGAAUAUUGGACAAUGGGCGCAAGCCUGAUCCAGCCAUGCCGCGUGAGUGAUGAAGGCCUUAGGGUUGUAAAGCUCUUUCACCGGUGAAGAUAAUGACGGUAACCGGAGAAGAAGCCCCGGCUAACUUCGUGCCAGCAGCCGCGGUAAUACGAAGGGGGCUAGCGUUGUUCGGAAUUACUGGGCGUAAAGCGCACGUAGGCUGAUAUUUAAGUCAGGGGUGAAAUCCCGGGGCUCAACCCCGGAACUGCCUUUGAUACUGGGUAUCUUGAGUAUGGAAGAGGUCAGUGGAAUUGCGAGUGUAGAGGUGAAAUUCGUAGAUAUUCGCAGGAACACCAGUGGCGAAGGCGGCUGACUGGUCCAUUACUGACGCUGAGGUGCGAAAGCGUGGGGAGCAAACAGGAUUAGAUACCCCAGUAGUCC
rnacentral:rRNA from 1 species